UUUUCCUGGUGAAAAGUUCUACAAACCUCUAUAUACUUGUGAAGUGCUUCAAGCUUUUCAGGGAAAGCGAAUCCCAUAAUCUGGCCCAGUGCUACUCGAGCGUGUCGGAGCUUCGGUGCUACAGUGAAAUCCGAGUCUGUUGGCUUUUCUCCAGCAAUGUAUGGACCCUUUCACCACUCGAUCCAUGUGCUGAUUAAACGAUAGGAGUUCUUUUAUCAGAUCCUGUUUGGCUGGAUGAGCUUGGUCUUUGGACUUGAGCCACUCGACGAACGUAGGAAAGAUUCCCGAUCCUCUGCGAGAAGAGAAAAUAUGCGAGCAGGAUUUGGAAACUUGGCCUCCAAGUGCUCGAAGAUCCUCUCCGAGUCUUGGAUCCAUUCGGAGCCAUCUCGCAAAACAGGCAUAAGACCCGAGGGGUUCUUCUCCAUGAACCUGUUGGCCACGACGAUCUAACUAAACAAGGUGAAGCUGCAAAUUCUAGUGUACCAUGCAGGCUUGUCAGGACCUUCUUGAAUGUACGUGGCUUUGUAAGGCAGCCUCUUCUCUGAUUCGCUGCGAGAAGGGGCCUGGAAUCCAUCAAAAACGAUCGAGAACUAAGUAUCAAAAUCGAAGAGCUUACAAUCGCCUCGCUGUGUGCUAGGAUUCCCAGUUCCAGUGGCGGCCUUGCCGAAAACUUCGAGAUCCACU